rnacentral:rRNA from 1 species
GAGGAAUAUUGGUCAAUGGGCGCAAGCCUGAACCAGCCAUCCCGCGUGCAGGAAGACGGCCCUAUGGGUUGUAAACUGCUUUUCCAGGGAGAGAAACUUGCGCACGUGUUGCGCAAUUGACGGUACCCUGGGAGUAAGCAUCGGCUAACUCCGUGCCAGCAGCCGCGGUAAUACGGAGGAUGCGAGCGUUAUCCGGAUUCAUUGGGUUUAAAGGGUGCGUAGGCGGACUAUUAAGUCAGUGGUGAAAUCCUGCAGCUUAACUGCAGAACUGCCAUUGAUACUGAUAGCCUUGAGUUUGGUUAAGGUAGGCGGAAUGUGUAAUGUAGCGGUGAAAUGCUUAGAUAUUACACAGAACACCAAUUGCGUAGGCAGCUUACUGAGCCGACACUGACGCUGAGGCACGAAAGCGUGGGGAUCGAACAG